rnacentral:rRNA from 1 species
AUUGAACGCUGGCGGCAUGCCUUACACAUGCAAGUCGAACGGCAGCACGGGGGCAACCCUGGUGGCGAGUGGCGAACGGGUGAGUAAUGCAUCGGAACGUGCCCAGUAGUGGGGGAUAACCAGUCGAAAGACUGGCUAAUACCGCAUACGACCUACGGGUGAAAGCGGGGGACCGUAAGGCCUCGCGCUAUUGGAGCGGCCGAUGUCUGAUUAGCUAGUUGGCGGGGUAAGAGCCCACCAAGGCGACGAUCAGUAGCUGGUCUGGGAGGACGACCAGCCACACUGGGACUGAGACACGGCCCAGACUCCUACGGGAGGCAGCAGUGGGGAAUUUUGGACAAUGGGCGCAAGCCUGAUCCAGCCAUGCCGCGUGCGGGAAGAAGGCCUUCGGGUUGUAAACCGCUUUUGGCAGGAACGAAACGGCGCAAGCCAAUACCUUGCGCUAAUGACGGUACCUGCAGAAUAAGCACCGGCUAACUACGUGCCAGCCGCCGCAGUAACAC